rnacentral:lncRNA from 1 species
GUUUACUUCUGAAGAUCACUUUAGCACCGCCCUAAAAACCCGAUUAAAAUUCGACACAAACCUUCAAAUAGGAAAAAUCAACACGAAAAUGGCUAAUUUGAUGCUGCUGCCACAGGGAGGCACCUCUCCCCCACUCAAUCUGACAGGUUAUGUCCAACUUUGGCAGCGCCAUCAUUCAGAUUUGGACAACAAUAUCAAGAUAACUAUGAUGGCUUGUGUUGGUCAAGUGUCUCCCAUCUUCCCGGCUUAUCCCCUGGGUAUUUAUACCUGUGUUUUCUGUCUGUCUGUGCCAGUUCGUCUUGUUUGUUCAAGCCAACCAGCGGUUUGUCUCAGCUCCUGUUUUUUCCCAGUCUCUCUUUUUCCUCAUCCUCCUGGUUUUCGGCAUUUGCCUGUCCUGAUCCUGUACCCGCCCACCUGACCACUGCCUGUCUCUGACCCUGAGCCUGCCUGCCAUCCUGUACCUUUGCUCCACCUCUGGAUUACCGACCUCAGCCUGACCUGAGCCUGCCUGCUGUCCC